GGGGGUGUGGCGAAAUUGGUAUACGCAACGGACUUAAAAUCCGUGGACCGCUAAGGUCGUAAGAGUUCGAGUCUCUUGAUCCCUA
rnacentral:tRNA from 1 species